ACUUAAGGAACUGAGGCAGGAGGAUC
rnacentral:piRNA from 1 species